GGACCCGUAGCUCAGCGGGCGAGCGGGGCAGCGAAGAUGCCCCGAUCCCGGUCCGACUCCGGGCGGGUCCA
rnacentral:tRNA from 1 species